CUGGAGGGAUUGGUUUGUAUUUGAUAGGAGGCUGUGAGUAUGGUUGUUUUUGACAGGAGGGUGCGAGUAUGGUUGUAUUUGAUAGGAGGGUGUGAGUAUGGUUGUAUUUUACUGGAGGGAGUAUGUUUGUAAUUGACAGGAGGGUGUGAGUAUGGUUGUAUUUUACUGAAGGGAGUAAGUUUGUAUUUGACAGGAAGGUGUGAGUAUGGUUGUAUUUGAUAGGAGGGUGUGAGUAUGGUUGUAUUUGAUAGGAGGGUGUGAGUAUGGUUGUAUUUUACUGGAGGGAGUAAGUUUGUAUUUGAUAGGAGGGUGUGAGUAUGCUUACAAUGGGAGGCCAUGAGAGAAAUAUUUGUGACCAGUGAUUUUGAGAAAUUUGUGUUUGAGGGAAGGAUUUUUAAAAGAAAAGGAAAGGACAGUGUGAGAAAGUUUGUAAAGUGAUUUGGAAAUAGUAUGAGAAUGUUAUUAAGAUAUAUAAUAGUCAAGUGUAACAAGUUGGUAACCUACAUGUUAUGUGUGUCUAUUUCAUACUGAAUCUCUAUAUAUAACCUUCACAAACUGACAGUUAAUCUGAAUGAUCAGAAUAUCUCCAUAAUCUCUGGAUAAAAUGUUAGAAAUUCCUAGCUUGUUGAAAAGAUUUCUAUAAAAAAGGUAUUUUCUGUUUGGAAAACAUUGGGUUAAUGGUAUGUACAGAACACAUGCAUGGUGUAUGAAUAUUGUUAGGUAUAUAAUGCAUGAGCACACCCAUCCAGCCACUGACCAUGCCUGCAUGGCUGUACCGGUACAGCCACUGACCACGCCCGCAUGGCUGUACCAGGGCGUGUCCCCGGGUUAUACUUAAUAGCCGGAUAAGACAGAUUUCUAGUAAGGCAGUAUUUUUUUCCCUCUUUGAAAUCUGUUAUGCUGAUUUUGGCAAAUAACACUUCUGAUGAAUAUCGCCCUACCAAAAGCUCAAUCCCUGUACAAGUUGGAGAGAAGUCACACUAGCAUGUGUUAUUAAAUCAUUGUUUGUAUGUUGUAAAAUGACAGAUGGUUGUGACAAAGUUUGUAAAUUAAUGCUAGUGUGUGAGGAAGUUUGUGAUAUAAUAUAUAUAACGGCAUGAGGACGUCGCAAACAAAGUAUGUCUGAACAUCACCAGAAUUGCCAGAUGUAGGGCACCAAGGGAGAUAACUGUGUCAUACAUACUGUUGAAGACUUACUGGCUUCAGAUGACAUUUCAGAAUAUUUUUGAUGUUCGUGUUAAAAAUGAUUUGGUAUUGUAUCUUGAUUUUCAAUAUGUUGUUAACAUCCUAAAUACCUUAUCACAAACUGUUUUAAUCAAGGUCAUGGUUAUAAACGUUUUUGAUAAAUCUUUUUUUAAAUAUGAUUUUAAGGAGUUAAUCCUGUAUUGUGUUAUAACAGAGUAGAGACAGACCAUGUAUGAGUUGAAGGUCAUGAAAUUUGAAAAUAGGAUUUUUAAACAGACUUUUUCCGUAUGUCUGUAGUGUUUUAAAUUAAGGAAAAGAAACUCAUAUUUGUUUGUUUGUGACACUUUUAAAAAUAUUGUUUUCGUCAACUCUAGCUUUUCUUUUUUAAAUCAGAAAAAUCUUCAGUGCAAUGUAUACAAAGCUAAUAUUUGUUGUAUGUUGUACAUAGACAAACACGUGGG
rnacentral:lncRNA from 1 species